UAGAAGUUGACUGACUAUCUAGCCCACACUGCUGCACAAUCAUUGUUUUUUUGUCUAAUUCUAAUAUGAAUGCACGUGUGAAUUGGCAUAAUGUGUUAUGUGUGUGGGUGUGAAAUUACAUUCCCCCAUGCCUAUAGUACCCCCAGUGUUUUAGGUUUUAGAUGUUUAAAUGAAUCACACUUUGUCUUAAAUAGGAUAGGGUAUGUUUAUAUGGAUGUCAAAGCAUGCCUGAUGUUGAUAUGACUCUGAAUAUCUGUUCAGAAAUGUGGCUCCUCAGCCUGAUGGCCUGUCUGGUUAAGACACUGCUUCUGCCAUCCCAUCCCCCGUGCCAUUCCCCUACCCCCCACUGCCCCCCUCUCUCACUUGUACACUUGGGAUUUUUCCGCUUCUGUCCCUGGGCAGCCUCAGUGACCAGGCUCAAGAGGUGUGUCCUGGCUGUGCUGUACAUCUGUGUGCUUAACCCCUUAGCACAGCACCUAUGUUAUAACCUUACUGUCACCAAAAUUUUAAUAUGUAUGUCUUAAUCUGUUACUCUGCACUGUCAUAGCAAUGUUGUUAUGAUGUAGUUUUCAGCAAAUAGUGAAUAAGCCCGCUGGCAACCCCAUCUGCACUGCAGUAAGAGGCUACGGAAUGCUUUUUUGGGAGGUGCAACACCCAUCGCCAUUUUUUUUUUUUUUACAAUACCACUCCACCAGGAAAAAUGUCUAAUUGUUUGCCUGUCUAUUUAUUCAUUCUUUUUUCUUUUCUUUUGUACAAGGCAAGUUGCAGGAAGCAGCUGAAGUAAAGGAAGCCAAGAGUAUCCUCAUUCACAUCAAGGACAGAGACUGUGUGGCUCUGGAGGUGCAGUACCACAGAAGUUGCUACAGAGAGUACACAAGGUUUUUGAGUGAGCCUGUCAGAGCAGAGAAAGAACAGAUUGGGCCAACAUUUGAUCUGAGCUACAAGUUAUUCUGCGAGAGGGUAAUCCGCUAAAGGCUACUGAUCAACCAAGAGGUGCUGAGGAUGAGCCAACUGAGGAAGGCCUUUAUUGCCCUUGUGCAGUCAAGUGAAGGUGUUGAUGCUUCAACCUACAGACAGGAUAUAUUGAAGAAGAGGCUCAGUCGUGAUUUUCCUCAGCUAGUGUUCCACACCCCCGCCAAACGCAACACAUCUGAACUGGUUUUUGCUGAGAACUUGUCGACGAAUGCAGUCUUGGACUUGUUACCAUCAGGUGCGGAGACGACUCAGUCCAGCGAAAUGAGCCAGACAGACAGCGACACAGAAAGGAGGAAGUCAAAGCAACCAACCACAGCAGAGGAGACACGGACACUUUACACAG